rnacentral:rRNA from 1 species
UACGAGUGCCCCAAGCGUUAUCCGGAAUUAUUGGGCGUAAAGGGUGUGUAGGUGGCGAUGUUAGUCUUCUGUCAAAUUCUUCGGCUUAACCGGGGGUCUGCAGGGGAAACGGCAUUGCUCGAGUGUGCAAGGGGUGAAUGGAACUCAUGGAGUAGGGGUGAAAUUCGUAGAUAUUCGCAAGAACACCAGUGGCGAAGGCGGCUCACUGGCCCGAUACUGACGCUGAGGCACGAAAGCGUGGGGAGCAAACAGG